GACAAUUUAUUUUAAUUUGCCAGACGAUUCCUGUACAUAGUAGGAUUUGGGGCUGGAGUGGAGCAUUCUCACUUGCAAAUCAUGUAGCAUACAAUUAGGCGACGCUUUCACUAGCAGCAGACAGGCAGGAGGCAGCUCCUGUCAACGCUGUGUCCGCCCCCAAGGGGUUGCCCCAGCACAGUUCCCCCGUCGCUCCGACAGCUGCUCCUGCUACUCCUCAUGAACACGGAGCCCUCAAAUCUAUUAAACGGCCAUUCAAAGUCUUUUGCUCGUCGUCGAUUCGGGUCCAGGAAAUAAUGAAAAAUUCAAAAACCAAUAUUUAACAUGCCAUAAAAUCAAACAAAGUGCAACAAUGUGUGAUCCCGAUCCGGAUCCCUCCUCCUGCUUUAUGUGGUAUCCUUUCUGCUACUGUUGCUGCUGCUGCUGCUGCCGCUGCUGUUGGGGUAACGUUUAAUAUCUCAUCAAGUGUUACGCUUUACGACUACUUAAAAACACAUAAAAAAGAACAGACCCGAAUAAAAAAAGAAAAUGGAGAACGCAGAACGCAGAACGCAGAACACAGAACACAGAAUGGAAAAGAGAAUGAUUCCCAAACAAAAUCAACGCUGAAAGCUAUAAAUUCUCUCCACAGAAAGAGAGAGAGACAGAGUGCUGGCUACUGAACAGAAAGCGAAAGGAAAUGCAAAAGCGAAAGAGCAACAGCCACAAAAGAAGAGACCGAGGCAGCAGCAACGACAGCCCCAGCGGAAAAGAUUUAAUGAUGCAGCAUGAUUUGCGCAUAAAAAAGAAGCGAAAUAGAAUAUAAUGAAAUGGAAUGGAAUAGAAUAGAAGCAGUGGUGAAGAGUAACGCCGAGAGUGGAGCAGGAGAGCUUCAUAGCUUUUGACAGACAUCGGCAAGUGCUGGGCAAGCUUUGAUAAAAUGCAGCACACAUAAACACGAUACACCCACAGAUUCCUAAACAUAUACUACACAUAUACAUACCUACAUAUGUACAUAUAUUGUCUAACACUUUAGUUGAGCAUAAAAUGUUAAAGGCGUACGUAUAACAUACAAUAUAACAUGUACAUGAGGAAACAGCCAAGCAAA